AUGCAGCCUUUUGGUGUAUGGGGUGACGCUUCCAUUGAGCUAUCUGGCCAGGGACUGCAAGACAUCUAUCUAUAAAAAGAAGGCCAAUCUCAACACAAUAAUUCUGAAUUCACAGAAGAACAAAAGAGAACCAUAGGCAAAAUUGCAUCAUGCUUAGAAUUAUGAAGUGCAGCUUUAUAGUCCACACAGUUUAAAGAAGAAUUUAAACUGGAGGACCUGAAGAAGCUAGAACCAAUCCUAAAGAAUCUGCUUACAUAUAACAAAGAACUCCCAUUUGAUGUUCAGCCUGUCACCUUAAGAAGGAUUUUAGCACCUGUCGAAGAAGAGAAUUUGGAAUUUGAAGAAGAUGAAGAAGAGGGUGGUGCUGGAGGAGCAGGGUUUCCUGAUUCAUUUCCUGCUAGAGUUCCUGUUACUUUAUUAACAAGGUUGCCAUCAGAACCAGGGAUGACGUUACUCACUAUCAGAAUUGAGAAAAAUUGGUCUGAAAGACGCUGGACAGUGCAUUGAUCCCUAUAUCACAGUUAGUAUAAAGGAUCUGAAUGGUAUAUAUUUAACUUAUGUGCAAAAUACUCCUGUGGCUUCAAGGAAAGCCACAUUUUAAUGUGGACAUCGAGCUCCAGAACCAUAUUGAAAAAUUAACCAAAGAUGUAGCUAUCUUGUUUGAAUUCAAACACAUAAGCCUAAGAAAAGAUUCACCAGUACCAAGUGUUUUGCUUUGAUGGAGAUGGAUGAAGUUAAGUCUGGGCCCAUUGUAAUAGAACUACAUAAGAAACCCACUGAUUUUAAAAGAAAGAAACUACAAUUACUGACCAAGAAACCACUUUAUCUUCAUCUACAUCAAACUUUGUACAAGGAAUGA